UAGAUUAAUUUCUUUUUUUAUAAUUAUAUAUUUCAUAUUUAAUUUUGAAUAUGUGGAAUAAAUAUAUUAUUUUUAAGGUUUAAUUAUUUCGGAUGUCCCUAUUUGUACAUAUUCGUUUUAAAUAGAUCAUCGUAUUUUAAUUGAUCUCAAUUAGGUCCAUCUUUUUGUAAAAUUGACUCAAUUAAAAUCUUGUCGUUAAUUGGACUGGACGACGUUAAACUUUUUAUGUCUUGACUUGUUAACUUUGUAAUUUUUAAUGACAUGCCAGUGUGACUUGUUGACUGGACGACGUCAAAAAAGGACACGACGUUGUUUCCUCUUUCUUUACCUCCAAUUCCUAUUGAGCCUCCGGGGUGCUACCUUCCACUGUUCAAAACAUUUCCCAUUCUUUUAGAGAUCUUCUUCACCUUCUUCCUUUCCAUUCCAACUUCCCAAACAUGAAACUCACAGAGAAUAUCUAAUCCAAACCCUCACACCGACACAACACUGUGGGCCAUGAUUGACUCCGCCUCCGCCUCGCACUCCUCUUCCAAGAGAAAGGCCCUUGUCGCCUCCAAACUCCCACAACACCAACCCCCUUCCCCGAUCUCC
rnacentral:lncRNA from 1 species